rnacentral:rRNA from 1 species
GUAGGGAAUAUUGGUCAAUGGACGAAAGUCUGAACCAGCCAUUCCGCGUGCAGGAAGAAGAUUCUAUGGAUUGUAAACUGCUUUUAGCAGAGAAGAAACGCCUUCAUUGAUGAGGGUUUGACGGUAUCUGCGGAAUAAGCACCGGCUAACUCCGUGCCAGCAGCCGCGGUAAUACGGGGGGUGCAAGCGUUAUCCGGAAUCACUGGGUUUAAAGGGUGCGUAGGCGGGAAAUUAAGUCAGUGGUGAAAGUCUGUUGCUUAACGAUAGAAUUGCCGUUGAUACUGAUUUUCUUGAAUUGGGUUGAGGUUAGCGGAAUGUGACAUGUAGCGGUGAAAUGCAUAGAUAUGCUACGGAACACCGAUUGCGAAGGCAGCUUACUAUUUCAUGAUUGACGCUGAGGCACGAAAGCGUGGGUAGCGAACAGGAUUAGAAACCCUAGUAGUCC